GGGAUGUGCUCACAAUGAAGGUCCGGAACAGUGGCUCUUCUGUGUUUAACACACCUAAUAGCCAUUUGUGGGCUUUUGUGAGGAAGCAAACAAAAAUGUGUACCUUCCUGUGAAUAAAUGCCUUGCCUUG